rnacentral:rRNA from 1 species
AUUGAACGCUGGCGGCAUGCCUUACACAUGCAAGUCGAACGGCAGCACGGGUGCUUGCACCUGGUGGCGAGUGGCGAACGGGUGAGUAAUACAUCGGGACAUGUCCUGUAGUGGGGGAUAGCCCGGCGAAAGCCGGAUUAAUACCGCCUACGAUCUACGGAUGAAAGCGGGGGACCUUCGGGCCUCGCGCUUUAGGGUUGGCCGAUGGCUGAUUAGCUAGUUGGUGGGGUAAAGGCCUACCAAGGCGACGAUCAGUAGCUGGUCUGAGAGGACGACCAGCCACACUCGGACUGAGACACGGCCCAGACUCCUACGGGAGGCAGCAGUGGGGAAUUUUGGACAAUGGGCGAAAGCCUGAUCCAGCAAUGCCGCGUGUGUGAAGAAGGCCUUCGGGUUGUAAAGCACUUUUGUCCGGAAAGAAAUCCUUGGCCCUAAUACGGGCGGGGGAUGACGGUACCGGAAGAAUAAGCACCGGCUAACUACGUG